rnacentral:rRNA from 1 species
UACGUAGGCAGCGAGCGUUGUUCGGAGUUACUGGGCGUAAAGCGUGCGUAGGCGGUGUCUUAAGUUUGUUGUGAAAUCUCCCGGCUUAACCGGGAGGGUGCGGCGAAUACUGAGAUGCUGGAGUGCCGGAGAGGUAAGCGGAAUUCCUGGUGUAGCGGUGGAAUGCGUAGAGAUCCGGAAGAACACCGGUGGCGAAGGCGGCCUGCUGGGACAUUGCUGACGCUGAGGCGCGACAGCGUGGGGAGCAAACAGG